rnacentral:lncRNA from 1 species
ACCACUCAAAGGAAGGAAACCAAGAGAGAGGGGUGGCUGGCUGCUGUUUGGAGACAGUGGUCCUUGUAUUGGCGCCCCGCGGAAUCACUCCAGAUGAGUCAGUGGAUACAGUCUAUAGGUCCCGCCUCAUUGACUUUUCCAGUUGCUACCAGACUACGCACUGUCGCCUGAUGGUUAAGAACUGAAGCUUUAGCCGUGCGCGGUGGCUCACGCCUGUAAUCCCAGCACUUUAGGAGGCAGAGGCGUGUGGAUCACCUGAGGUCACGAGUUCGAGACCAGCUUGACCAACAAGCUGGCAUAUCCGAAUGGGCUGAGCUACCGGAUUAAGAGGGACACCCCAAAGCCCCCAUUGCUGGGUUAUUGCUCCAGAGCCAAUGUUCUUGGGGAAAGGAAGAUAUGCCCUUUGUCAACAUUGCCACUGCUGGUCUGUAAACUCCUAGACGGCCAGCUGGUGGUUCACAAACCAGGACUCCUUGCUCUGGCCCUACCCCUACCUACCAGAAUGACCGUGAACCCUUCCCCACUCACUCCUACAACCAGGUUUCCAUCUCCUCUCUCAGCUUAGGUUUCCCUAACUGUAAAAUAAAAGGGUUGGACUAGGUUAAGGACUUCCUGCUAUUUCUCUCUCCCACACUCUAAGGUUCCUUAGGAAUGCUUCAGAAAACAGCAGGGGUUGGGGCAAGGAUGCCGCUUGAGUCCCAGAGCAACUCCAAUUUCAUAGGCACAUAAAUUUAUGUGAAAGU